rnacentral:rRNA from 1 species
AUGAACGCUGGCGGCGUGCCUAAUACAUGCAAGUAGAACGCUGAAGGAGGAGCUUGCUCUUCUGGAUGAGUUGCGAACGGGUGAGUAACGCGUAGGUAACCUGCCUGGUAGCGGGGGAUAACUAUUGGAAACGAUAGCUAAUACCGCAUGACAACAGUUUUUUCAUGAUAACUGUUUAAAAGGUGCAACUGCUCCACUACCAGAUGGACCUGCGUUGUAUUAGCUAGUUGGUGAGGUAACGGCUCACCAAGGCGACGAUACAUAGCCGACCUGAGAGGGUGAUCGGCCACACUGGGACUGAGACACGGCCCAGACUCCUACGGGAGGCAGCAGUAGGGAAUCUUCGGCAAUGGACGGAAGUCUGACCGAGCAACGCCGCGUGAGUGAAGAAGGUUUUCGGAUCGUAAAGCUCUGUUGUAAGAGAAGAACGAGUGUGAGAGUGGAAAGUUCACACUGUGACGGUAUCUUACCAGAAAGGGACGGCUAACUACGUG